GUUUGACCAACUUGGAAAUUUCAAAAUUUAUUAAAUUUUAUGAAAAUCACGAGUAUUUAAAACUGUAUAAACUUUUUGAAUUUAUUUGCAAUUUUUUCAAUGCAAAUUUUUGAGUCAUGCGAUCAUAAAAAUUUUGAAGGUGUAGACAUACAAUACACUGAAAAACUAAUUGAUAUGGCCAAUAUGGACUUAUUAACUUGUGUUCGGACACGAAAUUUCGAAAAAAUUAUGAAAAAUUAUCGGGAAGAUACUAAAAAUAGUCAUAGAAAUGAAGAAAUACUCGACUGUUUCAGCGCGUUUUAUUCAGCAAAACUUUCAAACCAUUGUUUCUGAGCGAACAAUUCAGCGAAGAAUCCGAGAAGAAGGUUAGCCACUACAAAACCAGAAAGCAUUUCAUCAGCAAAAAUAAAUUGAGGACGCGAUUGGAAUUUUCAAAAAAGUAUCAAAUGCCGCCAAGGUUUUGGAAAAUAGUUAUUUGGAGUAAUGAGAGCAAAUUUGAAUAUAAACAUACGAAAAGCAGAGAAAAAGUUUGGCGAAAGAGUCAUAAGAGGCUCCAAAGUAAUAACAACCAAAUCAUCAAAAAUUUCGAAAGUGGAAAUGAUUUAGUUUGGUGUUGCUUUAGCUACAGUAGUCUAUCAAAUCUGGUAAUGUUCGAAGCCAAAUGACGGAAGAGUCCUACGUUCUGAUGUUGAGUUAGAGCACGCAGCGCAUAAAAUGGACUAAAAAGAUAACUUUAUACAUAUACGAGCAGGACAAACAUACAUGUCGGGUUGCAAGUUGCGAAAGACUAUUUCGAUCAAAAAUCGAUCGAGCUCCUACCAUGCCUGCCCAAAGCCCUGACUUAAAUCCUAUUGAGCAUUUAUGGUAAUAUUUAGAUAAUAAGCUCGACCGAUAUUCUUGUCGUUAAAUUAAAAUAGGUUGAAGGACUCCUGGGAAUACAUAUCUGCACUUGGUAGACAGCAUGCCUCGAAGUCUUCUCGCUGUAAUUUAGGCUAAAGGUGGCAACACUAAAUAUUGAAGCUCUAUUUAGAAACUAAUCUGAUAAUAUAUAGGAGUAUGCAUUAGUGUCCGACCGCUACCCAAUUUUUGCCCGAUGCCGAUUCCAAUUAAUCGGCCAGUUGUCAAUUCUUUCAUUAACAAAUUUAUUUAGUACACUAGUAUAGUAACAUAACAAAGCAAGUUGUUACAUCAGAAAUAGCUUGUUUGGGAGACUCUUUUGCAUGCACCUCAUAGUCCAGACCAGCACCAAAUGAUUAUUACCUGUUCCUGUCUAUGGUGAAUGAUAUUGAUUAUAGAAAUUCGUCUAAAGAAACGUUUAAAAAUAGUAUUAACUCAAAAGAAGUAGAAAGAAUCGGCUAAGAAUCGGCCAAAUAUGGCCGAUGCCGAUGCCAAGGCCGAAUGAUCGGUCGGACUCUAGUAUGUAUACUUUUGUCGUUGUGAAAUAUUCCCUUUUUCAGACCACAUUGCCCGUUCCUGAUUCCCUGAUCGUGUAUUUCAAAAUCAUCUAACAAUAUAUGAGUUUGAAUUCGAAGAGUGAAAUUCGGAAAAGUGGUAUCGUCAUGGGGAUUCCAAUUAAGUCUAGUAUUUACAUAAAAUCGUGUUCCCUAGCAAGAUUUGAUCGUGCAGCGGAAUCAUUUCAGCACUUCCUUCAACACUUUUGCGAGACAACGAUUGAAGGAUCUUCGCGCUUACUUUUCCACAUGAACAUGUGUUUAACUGGCUAAAUGUAGCCAUCCACAGCUAACCUAACUAGCAAAUACUCAACUCCGUCCGAAGGGUUAGAUUGCCUCAUAUAACGUUUAUUCGUCGUUUAUAUAAUAAAAAAUGGUAUCGAACAAAACGAUUAAAUCUGCACAUGUGAGACGUGAUCCUUUUUCCAGCACCUCCUGUCAUUGAACAUGUUACUUUUUGUUUAAUUGUUGUUUGUAAGGCAACAUAUUUAUAACUCAAUCUGCAAAAAGCUGGCGAAAGCGUAGAUAUAUUAAUUAAUCCAUUAAAAACAAAAACCUUCCGAUAAACAUGGAGCUUGAAAAGAAAUUCAUAAAAAAUGUAAAUUCACAAAAAUGCCAAGUAGUCGGCUAGACGGACGAACAAUACAUGCUCAUAAAAUGGCAACAAAAACUGUAAGUUGUUGUAAAAGCAGCCGCCAAAGUCUUAAGCGUAAUUGACAAGCAAUUGAAAUUAAAUAGCUUUGCAUCGCCACAAACAUAUGCACAUACAACACAAAAAUACAUCUGGCAAAUUAACAAAAACAAAAGUUAUGUUGGCAUUAGAAAGCGCUUAGAUGCAACAGCGGAGCGCCAGCAGCCGUAGCACCGCAUGUGGGCCGCGCUUGCUGGCAAUAAAUUAAGCGGCUGCGAAAGAGACCCGUGCUGGAUAACAAAAUACUUUGUUGGAGCCUUUUCUUUUGGCGAAAUUUACUAUACUUCGGUGGAGCGACCGUUACUUAAGUAAGCGGCAUCCACAAUGAGGUGUCGGGAUGAUAUUAGGCACAAGGCAAGGUAAGCUGGAGAAGAGUAUUCUUUAAAUAAGAGCUCACAUCAAAAAUUUGUGAGUGUAUCCGUAGUAAAAGUAUAAUCGAAGUGCUAUGAGGUAACGAAACUGAUCUGAGUUAGCAUGCGAAUAAGCUUUGGAAUCACAACUAAUUAGAUCUCAUUCAAAAUCAAAACAAAGCUAGAAACGAUAAAGAAAAUGUCAGGAAUAAGGUUUUGUUCACAAUUAUUGUUCAUUUAAGGAAAAUCAAUAGAAUUCCAAACCCUGAUGAUUUAAAUAAAAUAAUUGCAUUUUCUGUCACUCUUUAUUAUUUGCUUAUAUUAAAGAAUGUAAGAUUUGUUCAAAUUAAUUUUAACUGAAUG